rnacentral:rRNA from 1 species
CUACGUGCCAGCAGCCGCGGUAAUACGUAGGGUGCGAGCGUUAAUCGGAAUUACUGGGCGUAAAGCGGGCGCAGACGGUUACUUAAGCAGGAUGUGAAAUCCCCGGGCUCAACCUGGGAACUGCGUUCUGAACUGGGUAACUAGAGUGUGUCAGAGGGAGGUAGAAUUCCACGUGUAGCAGUGAAAUGCGUAGAGAUGUGGAGGAAUACCGAUGGCGAAGGCAGCCUCCUGGGAUAACACUGACGUUCAUGCCCGAAAGCGUGGGUAGCAAACAGGAUUAGAUACCCUGGUAGUCCACGCUGUAAACGAUGUCGAUUUGGGGAUUGGGCUUUAAGCUUGGUGCCCGUAGCUAACGUGAUAAAUCGACCGCCUGGGGAGUACGGCCGCAAGGUUAAAACUCAAAUGAAUUGACGGGGGCCCGCACAAGCGGUGGAGCAUGUGGUUUAAUUCGAUGCAACGCGAAGAACCUUACCUACUCUUGACAUCCAUGGAAUCUUGUAGAGAUACGAGAGUGC